rnacentral:rRNA from 1 species
CCUACGGGGUGCAGCAGUAGGGAAUUUUCCACAAUGGACGAAAGUCUGAUGGAGCAACGCCGCGUGAGUGAAGAAGGGUUUCGGCUCGUAAAGCUCUGUUGGUAGUGAAGAAAGAUAGAGGUAGCAACUGGCCUUUAUUUGACGGUAAUUACUUAGAAAGUCACGGCUAACUACGUGCCAGCAGCCGCGGUAAUACGUAGGUGGCAAGCGUUUGCCGGAUUUAUUGGGCGUAAAGCGAGUGCAGGCGGUGCAAUAAGUCUGAUGUGAAAGCCUUCGGCUCAACCGGAGAAUUGCAUCAGAAACUGUUGAACUAGAGUGCAGAAGAGGAGAGUGGAACGCCAUGUGUAGCGGUGGAAUGCGUAGAUAUAUGACAGAACACCAGUGGCGAAGGUGGCUCUCUGGUCUGCAACUGACGCUGAGGCUCGAAAGCAUGGGUAGCGAACAGGAUUAGAUACCCUGGUAGUC